CUUACUCUACGCUGUCCUUUCCCAGGGACUUGCUAACCCACCCUCUACAGGCUCCCUCGACACAGAGUCCACAGUCGCCUGAGGCUUCUCUCUAAUCUGAGUGACAUCUUGUGAUUAGCACCACUCACAGCUCGGCCUAUCACAUGGCAUGGCUUGCUGUACCAUCACCUUCAAUAUUAGCUACCUCUGGAGUGCCAGCCUGGGUGGCAUGUUGGGGCAGGCCCAGAAUGAACCCUGGAGAACCAGAGAAACAAAACACCUCCUUCAAAAGCAGACAGCUUCACCCACCGGCUCUCAGAGCAUGUCUGUAGGGCGUCCAACCUUGCUACACAUUGUCUCGCUCACCUCGGACGCUUGCAGGACCUGACGAAAGCCUCCAUUACCACCCCUGAAGAUUGCACAAUCAACGCUAUGUAGAUAAUGCUGACAAGUUCUUCAGCCAGCUCAAUAUUGUCUGGUGUGUCUGAAGACAACUACAGUGUACUUACAUAUAAUAAAUAAAUACAUCUUUAAAAGAAUAUUUUCCUAAUCCCAUUAUCCUAAUGUUACAGGUCAGGAAGUUGAAUUCAGAGGCUAAUAGCUUGCUCAGAGAUGCAUAGCUAUAAGCACUGAGCUAGACCUGCUUUCUCCUACAUGCUUGCAGCAGAACUUACCUCCAAUUAAUUUCAAUAUUAAUACAACAAGAAGCCUGUGAUUGUACAGUGGAAAAGGAAGGCGGGCAGGGAAUUUUAGAAACAGGAGAGAGAAGACAGAGAGGAGAAGGAAAGAAGAUGGAGGAAGAGAAAGACGAUCCAGAUUCCACGUGGCUUUAAAUAGCCACAGGUAGCUAUGACUAUCUUAUAAGGGAUGGAUAAUUACAGGACAAUUUGUCCAAUCCAGGUGGGCAGUUUAUAUCAAUAUCAAUUGGCUCUGAGUUCAUUGUGUGGGCAUUUUGUGGGGUGAGAGUUACUGACAUAAAUCUGACUUAUAAAUUCCAAGCCUCUAGAGUUUCGACUUUACUGGGUUCCUGGGAUUUGGAAGCAUUGACCACAGGGGUGGAUGGCUCUGCUCACAGGGAAGGUGAGCAGAAUCCGCAGCAAGAGAACCACAAGAUGGGCAGUUGCUGCAUGGGAUUAGCCAUGGAGGCAGCAAGGUCACCCGAGUCAGAGAGUAGCCAGUGAUAGCGCAGGAUGGGGCUUCUUUUUUUUUUUUUUUUAAUCUGAACAAACCCUGUAUUCUUUAGACUCUUAUCUCUAAGAUUCCAAACACGUUAUAGCAUUCAACAAAAAUAUUAUAGACAUUUUUCUGCUUUCAUUGUCAAUUUACGGGAUUGUGCUCAAAAAAUAUCCUGAAACAUUUUUAUAAAUCAACUGAGAUAGAACUUAUAUAUGUGUCUGCUUAAACCUUAUUCCCCCAAACCAACGCUAACAGGACCUUAUAGCCAAGAAGUGCUGGCUGUUUUUGUUUUUGAGACACGGUCUUGAUGAUAUAGCCCUGGCUAUCUGGUAACUCUGCAAACCAGACUGACCUUGAACUCCACGACCUGCCUGCCCGUCUCCCAGUGCUGGGGUUAAAGACCUGUACCACGGCAAAGAAUAGCUGGUGUUUUAACAGUCAGAGAUACACAUUAGUUUAACUGGAAGUCUGAACUGGAAGCAACCAUGGCAGUAAGCUGAAAUCUGUCAGCUAAUUUGAUAAAAUAGUUUUUGUCUCAAAAUUAUCAGCCAUUUCUUUUAGCUGAUACUUCUUUUACUAGCUUUAUAAAAAGAAAAUGAACAAUCUAACUUAACUAUAAAGCUGGUUCUCAUUUUUCACACUGUUAUUUUUUAAAUAGUUUUUAACUUAAUUUAUUCACAUUAUAUUUUUAAACUCCACAUUCUUUUCUAUAUAGUUGCAUGUCAAAAAAUACUAAAGAGUUUCACGGUUUGCUGAAAUACAUGUAGGAAAACAUAGAUAUGUGGCAUAAUAGCUUGCUUAAAUUUCUCUUAAAGAAACAUAAUUAAUUUAAAGAGUUCCAACACAUUUUUAAAAAAAAAUUCCAGCAACGAUUAUUUCUGAAAUGUAUAAAAUUUAAAUAAUUAAAAGGUUAAAAACCAAAAUG